CAAUAGCGUAUAUUAAAGCUGUUGCGGUUAAAAAGCUCGUAGUUGGAUUUCGGGUGGGAAUGGCCGGUCCGCCGUUUCGGUGUGCACUUGCUACGCCCACCUUGCUGCCGGGGACGUGCUCUUGAGUUCACGCUCGGGACACGGAGUCGGCGAGGUUACUUUGAGUAAAUUAGAGUGUUCAAAGCAGGCCUACGCUCUGAAUACAUUAGCAUGGAAUAACACGAUAGGACUCUGGCCUAUCUUGUUGGUCUGUAGGACCGGAGUAAUGAUUAAGAGGGACAGUCGGGGGCAUUCGUAUUUCAUUGUCAGAGGUGAAAUUCUUGGAUUUAUGAAAGACGAACUACUGCGAAAGCAUUUGCCAAGGAUGUUUUCAUUAA
rnacentral:rRNA from 1 species